rfam:Candidatus Tachikawaea gelatinosa DNA, complete genome.
GAUUAAGCAAUUAAGCGUAUACGGGGGAUGCCUUGGCAAUCAGAGGCGAUGAAGGACGUGCUUAUCUACGAAAAGAAUCGGUAAGGCGAUAAGAUCCGUUAAUAACCGGUAGUGUCCGAAUGGGGAAACCCGAUGUAGUAACAUACAUCAUCAUUAUACGAAUAUAUAAUAUAAUGAAGCAAACCAGGAGAACUGAAACAUCUAAGUAUCCUGAGGAAAAGAAAUCAAUUGAGAUUCCCUUAGUAGUGGCGAGCGAAAGGGGAAAAGCCCAGAGUUUUAUCAAAUUAUUUUGUUAGUAGAAGUGUUUGGAAAAUCACACGAUACAGAGUGAUAGUCUCGUAUAUAAAAACAUAUAAUUUGUGUACUCAAUGAGUAAAACGGGACACGUGAUAUCCUGUUUGAAUACGGGGGGACCAUCCUCCAAGGCUAAAUACUCCUGAUUGACCGAUAGUGAACUAGUACCGUGAGGGAAAGGUGAAAAGAACCCCUAAAGGGGAGUGAAAAGAUACUGAAACCGUAUACGUACAAGCAGUAGGAGCAUUUUUUUUAUAAUGUGACUGCGUACCUUUUGUAUAAUGGGUCAGCGAGUUAUAUUCUAUAGCAAGGUUAACUGUAUAAGGGAGCCGUAGGGAAACCGAGUCUUAACUGGGCGUUAAGUUGUAGGAUGUAGACCCGAAACCCGGUGAUCUAACCAUGAGCAGGUUGAAGGUUAGGUAAUACUAACUGGAGGACCGAACCAACUAAUGUUGAAAAAUUAGUGGAUGACUUGUGGUUAGGGGUGAAAGGCCAAUCAAACCGGGAGAUAGCUGGUUCUCCUCGAAAGCUAUUUAGGUAGCGCCUCGUAAACUCAUCUUUGGGGGUAGAGCACUGUUUUGGCUAGGGGGCUACUCCAGCCUACCAAUCCAAUGCAAACUCCGAAUACCAAAGAAUGUUAUUACGGGAGACACACAGCGGGUGCUAACGUCCGUUGUGGAAAGGGAAACAACCCAGACCGCCAGCUAAGGUCCCUAAGUCAUAAUUAAGUGGGAAACGAUGUGGGAAGGCUUAAACAGCCAGGAUGUUGGCUUAGAAGCAGCCAUCAUUUAAAGAAAGCGUAAUAGCUCACUGGUCGAGUCAGCCUGCGCGGAAGAUGUAACGGGGCUAAAUUAUGUACCGAAGCUGCGGCAACAAAUAAUUUUGUUGGGUAGAGGAGCGUUCUGUAAGCUGAAGAAGGUAAGUUGUGAAAUUUACUGGAAGUAUCAGAAGUGCGAAUGCUGACAUGAGUAACGAUAAAAUGGGUGAGAAACCCAUUCGCCGAAAGACUAAGGUUUCCUUUUCGAUGUUAAUCAGAAAAGGGUAAGUCGAAUCCUAAGGUGAGGCUGAAAAGCGUAAUCGAUGGAAAAACAGGUUAAUAUUCCUGUACUUUAUAUUAUUGCGAUGAAAGGACGGAGAAGGCUAGAUUAGCCGAGUGUUGGAAAUCUCGGUUUAAACAUGUAGGUUAAUUUUUCAGGAAAAUCCGAAAAAUAAAAACUGAGGUGUGAUGACGAAAUUCUUAGGAAUUGAAGUAAUUAAUGCCAUGCUUCCAAGAAAAUCUUCUAAGCUUCAGAUAAUAUAGAACCGUACUACAAACCGACACAGGUAGUUAGGUAGAGAAUACUAAGGCGCUUGAGAGAACUCGGGUGAAGGAACUAGGCAAAAUGGUGCCGUAACUUCGGGAGAAGGCACGCUAGAAGUAAGUAAAAAGACAUGCUCUUUAAGCUGAAACUAGCCGAAGAUAAUAGCUAGCUGCAACUGUUUAUUAAAAACACAGCACUGUGCAAACACGAAAGUGGACGUAUACGGUGUGACGCCUGCCCGGUGCCGGAAGGUUAAUUGAUGGGGUUAUCUUUUUUUUUUCUAAAAGAAAAGCUCUUGAUCGAAGCCCCGGUAAACGGCGGCCGUAACUAUAACGGUCCUAAGGUAGCGAAAUUCCUUGUCGGGUAAGUUCCGACCUGCACGAAUGGCGUAAUGAUGGCUAGGCUGUCUCCACCCGAGACUCAGUGAAAUUGAAAUGGCUGUGAAGAUGCAGUGUACCCGCGGCAAGACGGAAAGACCCCGUGAACCUUUACUAUAGCUUGAUAUUGAAGAUUGAACAUCGAUGUGUAGGAUAGGUGGGAGGCUAUGAAGUAUAAACGCUAGUUUAUAUGGAGCCGUCCUUGAAAUACCACCCUUUAAUGUUGAAUAUUCUAAUGUUACUCCGUCAUCCGGAGUGCAGACAGUGUCUGGUGGGUAGUUUGACUGGGGCGGUCUCCUCCUAAAGAGUAACGGAGGAGCACAAAGGUCAGCUAAUUACGGUCGGAAAUCGUAAGUUUAGUGCAAAGGCAUAAGCUGGCUUAACUGCGAGCGUGACAACGCAAGCAGAUGCGAAAGCAGGUCUUAGUGAUCCGGUGGUUCCGAAUGGAAGGGCCAUCGCUCAACGGAUAAAAGGUACUCCGGGGAUAACAGGCUAAUACCGCCCAAGAGUUCAUAUCGACGGCGGUGUUUGGCACCUCGAUGUCGGCUCAUCACAUCCUGGGGCUGAAGUAGGUCCCAAGGGUAUGGCUGUUCGCCAUUUAAAGUGGUACGCGAGCUGGGUUUAGAACGUCGUGAGACAGUUCGGUCCCUAUCUGCCGUGGGCGUAGGAGAAUUGAAGGGGGUUGCUUCUAGUACGAGAGGACCGAAGUGAACGUACCGCUGGUGUUCGGGUUGUCAUGCCAAUGGCAUUGCCCGGUAGCUAAGUACGGAAAAGAUAAGAGCUGAAAGCAUCUAAGCACGAAACUUGCCCUAAGAUGAGUUCUCCCUGACUCUAAGAGAGUCCUGAAGGGACGUUGAAGACAACGACGUUGAUAGGCUAGGUGUGUAAGCGUAGCGAUACGUUGAGCUAACUAGUACUAAUGACCCGUGAGGCUUAAUCUU